GAACCGCAGGGCCGCCUCCAACCCCACCCCGCCCACAAUUUGAGGUUCCGCCCACUGCCUUGGGAGCUCCGUUCUGGCCUCUGGAUGCGGAAGCUCUAGAGAAGAAACCGAGUUGGUCCUGGCAAGCGCACCCAGCAGGUCUGGGUCACCCGGCAGAGCACCAUCUCCCACCACCACCACACUCUAGAGAAGAAAGUGUUGGUUUCUGGCAGGCGCACUCCAGCAGGUCUGGGUCACCCGGCAGAGCACCAUCUCCCACCACCACCAAGCUACCCAGGUGUUUAUGUGCUUCCUGGACUCCUCCGUAGCGCUGACAAAGUCCAGCUCUUCCAUCUCUGCUUGGUAGAACACGUGGC